rnacentral:rRNA from 1 species
GAUCAUGGCUCAGGAUGAACGCUAGCUACAGGCUUAACACAUGCAAGUCGAGGGGCAGCAUGAGAUUAGCUUGCUAAUCUGAUGGCGACCGGCGCACGGGUGAGUAACGCGUAUCCAACCUUCCCCCUACUCAGGCAUAGCCCGGUGAAAACCGGAUUAACUCCUGAUAGUUUCACUAGAUGGCAUCUGACGGUGAAUAAAGCUUUGCGGUAAGGGAUGGGGAUGCGUCUGAUUAGCUUGUUGGCGGGUAACGGCCCACCAAGGCGACGAUCAGUAGGGGUUCUGAGAGGAAGGUCCCCCACAUUGGAACUGAGACACGGUCCAAACUCCUACGGGAGGCAGCAGUGAGGAAUAUUGGUCAAUGGGCGCGAGCCUGAACCAGCCAAGUAGCGUGCAGGACGACGGCCCUAUGGGUUGUAAACUGCUUUUGUGCGGGAAUAAAGUCAGGGACGUGUCCCUGUUUGCAUGUACCGCAAGAAUAAGGACCGGCUAAUUCCGUGCCAGCCGCAGC